rnacentral:ncRNA from 1 species
GCUUAAUUUGACUCAACAUGGGGAAACUUACCAGGUCCAGACAUAGUAAGGAUUGAUAGACUGAGAGCUCAUUCUUGAUUCUAUGGGUGGUGGUGCAUGGCCGUUCUUAGUUGGUGGAGCGAUUUGUCUGGUUAAUUCCAUUAACGAACGAGACUUCAGCCUGCUAACUAGCUAUGCGGAGGCACCCUUCGCAGCCAGCUUCUUAGAGGGACUAUGGGGCCCAUCUUGGAAAAAUGUAUAUGGGGCCCAUCUUGAAAAAAUGUAUAUGGGCGCA